UUCGAGUGGCGGACGGGUGAGUAACGCGUGGGUAACCUGCCUUACACAGGGGGAUAACACCUGGAAACAGGUGCUAAUACCGCAUAAGCGCACAGGGCCGCAUGGCCCGGUGUGAAAAACUCCGGUGGUGUAAGAUGGACCCGCGUUCUGAUUAGCUUGUUGGCGGGGUAGGGGCCCACCAAGGCGACGAUCAGUAGCCGGCCUGAGAGGGUGGACGGCCACAUUGGGACUGAGACACGGCCCAAACUCCUACGGAAGGCAGCAG
rnacentral:rRNA from 1 species